GUGCUGCAGUGGUUAGCACACUUCCCCCGCAAGGAGGAGGAGAUGCGGGUUUGAGUCCCGUCCA